AAACAACUCUCAGCAACGGAUAUCUUGGCUCUUGCAACGAUGAAGAACGCAGCGAAAUGCGAUACGUAGUGUGAAUUGCAGAAUUCCGCGAAUCAUCGAGUCUUUGAACGCAAGUU
rnacentral:rRNA from 3 species